CUAUCUCGAAAAACCAAAAGACUG
rnacentral:piRNA from 1 species